rnacentral:rRNA from 2 species
AAAGGCGAAAAGAACCCCGGGAGGGGAGUGAAAAAGAACCUGAAACCGUGUACGUACAAGCAGUGGGAGCCCCACCACCAAAGCAUUCUCUGGUGUUGAAGGCCCUGCAAAGCAGCAUCGCGGUGGCGGAGCGUCGUUUGCGACGCCCAACACACAAAACAAGCGGUGAAUGCUUUGGGGUGGGGUGACUGCGUACCUUUUGUAUAAUGGGUCAGCGACUUAUAUUCUGUAGCAAGGUUAACCGAAUAGGGGAGCCGGAGGGAAACCGAGUCUUAAUUGGGCGUUAAGUUGCAGGGUA